UACGAAGGGGGCUAGCGUUGUUCGGAAUUACUGGGCGUAAAGCGCACGUAGGCGGACUACUAAGUCAGGGGUGAAAUCCCGGGGCUCAACCCCGGAACUGCCUUUGAUACUGAUAGUCUCGAGUCCGGAAGAGGUGAGUGGAAUUCCGAGUGUAGAGGUGAAAUUCGUAGAUAUUCGCAAGAACACCAGUGGCGAAGGCGGCUCACUGGUCCAUUACUGACGCUGAGGUGCGAAAGCGUGGGGAGCAAACAGG
rnacentral:rRNA from 1 species